GGUGACUCCAGGCGGUAUUGAUCCAGGGAGUGAGUGGGCAGUAUUGAUUGAGGUACAUACUGGGUGGUACUGAUCAGGGGAGAUACUGGGCAGUAUUGAUCUAGGGAGUGAGUGGGCAGUAUUGAUCCAGGUACAUACUGGGUGGUACUGAUCAGGGGAGAUACAGGGCAGUAUUGAUCCAGGGAGAUACUGGGCAGUAUUGAUUGAGGGUAAUAGUAGGCAGUAUUGAUCCAGGGAGUGAGCGGGCAGUAUUGAUCGAGGUAGAUACUGGGUACUAUAGAUCAAGGGAGAUAAUGGGUAGUAUUGAUCCAGGGAAAUACAGCGGUAUUGAUCCAGUGAGAUACUGGGCAGUAUUGAUCCAGGGAGAUACCGGGCAG